UUGCCGUCAAUUUCACGAGGAAAAUUUCAAACGGCAUCUUUGGAAAAAAAUGGAAGCCGAAGCCGAAUGAUGAAGCUUCGUAAUCCAGUUUCCGCAACGCCAACAUGGCGGAUCGAAGUUCAUCCAGUUGACUCGGUCCUUCCCAAAUUCCGGAUUGGCAGAACGCGCACCGCAAGGUCCAGAUCAUGGUUAUAGGCUACCUAUUGUUUUUCUUUGGUAUUUCUCAAGCUUCCUUGUCCUUGAAAUGCAAGGAUUGGUGGGUCAUUUUGGCUUUACUUUUUUAUUUUCCUCGAUACUGUCACUAUGUUAUGUCGGACCCAAUACCCACUAGAGACAACCCAGACGGAUCUAAUGGAAGUUUGUCAACGGAUUUUGGUUACCCAAAA